GAUGGACGCUGGCGGCGUGCCUAAUACAUGCAAGUCGAGCGAACGGACGAGAAGCUUGCUUCUCUGAUGUUAGCGGCGGACGGGUGAGUAACACGUGGAUAACCUACCUAUAAGACUGGGAUAACUUCGGGAAACCGGAGCUAAUACCGGAUAAUAUUUUGAACCGCAUGGUUCAAAAGUGAAAGACGGUCUUGCUGUCACUUAUAGAUGGAUCCGCGCUGCAUUAGCUAGUUGGUAAGGUAACGGCUUACCAAGGCAACGAUGCAUAGUCGACCUGAGAGGGUGAUCGGCCACACUGGAACUGAGACACGGUCCAGACUCCUACGGGAGGCAGCAGUAGGGAAUCUUCCGCAAUGGGCGAAAGCCUGACGGAGCAACGCCGCGUGAGUGAUGAAGGUCUUCGGAUCGUAAAACUCUGUUAUUAGGGAAGAACAUAUGUGUAAGUAACUGUGCACAUCUUGACGGUACCUAAUCAGAAAGCCACGGCUAACUACGUG
rnacentral:rRNA from 1 species